rnacentral:misc_RNA from 1 species
CGCCAUGAUAAGAUUAAAGGCUUGGGUUGGAUGGUAAUUGGUCUCUGUUGAAGCAAGGGACUGCCAAUGGUAGGCAAUUUAUUAGACCUUGAUUCCUUCCAAUUCCACAACACCCUCUAUCUGUAACUUCAAAUCCAUAUAAGUAGGGUUGUUGAGUAAAUCAAUGAAAGCUUUGUAAGUGUUUCCAUAAACAAACACUGUGCCAUUUUGCGU